rnacentral:rRNA from 1 species
AACCAGCUCUUCAAGUGGUCGGGACUUUUAUCGGGCUUAAAGUGUCCGUAGCCGGUUUGAUAAGUUCCUGGUUAAAUCUGGCAGCUUAACUGUCAAUUCGCUAGGAAUACUGUCUUACUAGAGGGUGGGAAAGGUCUGAGGUACUCCAGGGGUAGCGGUGAAAUGCGAUAAUCCUUGGGGGACCACCAGUGGCGAAGGCGUCAGACUGGAACACGCCUGACGGUGAGGGACGAAAGCCAGGGGGAGCGAACGGGGAUUAGAUACCCCGGUAGUCCUGGCUGUAAACGAUGCGUGCUAGGUGUUGGUAGGGCUCGGAGCUGUAUCAGUGCCAAAGGGAACUGUUAAGCGCGCCGCCUGGGAAGUACGCUCGCAAGAGUGAAACUUAAAGGAAUUGGCGGGGGAGCACCACAAGGGGUGAAGCCUGCGGUUC